rnacentral:lncRNA from 1 species
ACUGGAAAUCAAGUUAUUUGCAUACAUGUCAUGUGUGGAGAAAAGACCUUUAGCUAUCCCAUCCAUCAUCUUAUUUCUCAAAUUUAUUUUACAAUCUAUCUAAUUUUUCAUACUUGUUUGUUUGUUUCAACUUCAUCCAAAUCAAAACCCCCCUUUUACUUUCUUGUUUCAAAGUGUUUCAAAUCUGUUUAGUUUGUGUUUUUAAGUGUUUUGAUUCAAGUAAAAGUCAAUUUUCGUCCAAAGUCAUUCCUAGUGUCUAGUUUAAGUUUAUUUAGUUGUUUUAAGUUGUUUUGAUUAUUUUAAGGUUGCUUUGAGUCUUGUGAGUCUUGUUAAGUG